rnacentral:sRNA from 2 species
CUGCGGUGUUUCUUGAAAAUAGUCACUGCUCCCCCCCGAGGUUCCCGGGGCCGGCUUGAAGGUGUUCAAUAUCAUGGCGAGUUGUUGAGCACUAUGAUCCUAGCCUCUAGAAUCUCGGGGCUAAUGCCUUCACCGGGUAUUGAUGCGUGGUUGGCUUUGGAGUGUAGGUAAAGUACAUAUGUAUCAUCGGCCAUUAGCAAUUCAUACUUUGGCUCCGUUCUCAGCGGAUGUGUCAAUCAAGUAGGCCACGGUUGAAUAGCCCUCCCACCACAUGCUAGUUGCACAGCAAGUAAGAACAAUUUGGUCCUGGCAAAGCUGGAAGUACAUAGAUAAUCACAGACAUGGUCAUUCAUAGUUAAU